UGAGCUAAAUCUCUGGCCCCAUCAAGACACAUUUGGAAGUGAAGUCUUGCAUUCCAGAAGAUGAGAAGACAGAAAAGUUAAACAAUAUUCUGGCAUGAGGCAUAACUGGUAUUCCUACUCCAUUUACAGCCCUCAAAUGUGUGUUCUUAAAUCCUGUCUUGGAGUGUCUCUCAAAACAGCCUUCCAAUGUGGAUUUGCAUAAAACACCAGCUACUGUGCCUUGAGGUCUUCCACAACAGACUGCUGCCGCAUCUUGGUCUGAAACUUCCAUCUUCUUGGACUGAACAGCUACUGGAUUUUCUGGCUCUCCUUCUCCCCACAGCCAUUGUGGAUUCUUUUAAUUGUGACUCCACAGACACCAUUGGGGACUCUUUUUCUAAUCUGCACUGGAAAUUGAAUGUAGGACUUCCACACUGAGCUGUUCCCCUAGCACUUUCACCAGGCUGGUCUGGGACUUCCCAUUCUCCUGCCUCAUUUUCUUCUGUGUAUAAAAUCAAGAGGCAACCUUUCACGAUUAUGAAAUAUGUGGCUAUGCUUUCACGGCCUUUCUGAUGUGUGGACACAAAGGGAUA